AAAAAAAUCACGAUCAUCAAAUUCAUCAUCUUCAGAAACAGCAAAGUCAAAAAAAACGGCAUGUAGUGAAAAAGCCCACAACAGUAGUAUCAACCAAAUUGAUGGGACUGUUGAUGAACACUCUGAUUCCAGUGUUAAAAAGAUGGUACGCUCUAAAUCAAAACCCAGUGGCAGCAGUGUCCAGAACUCAGAAAUUCAAGAUGCGAGUGACAGAGAUAUUGAAGGGCUGACAAAUUUAAACAGUUUAAACAAAUCUCGACGGCAUGGUUCUUCGUCAAACAAUACUGAGAGCAGGAGUUCUGCGAGGCAAGCGUGUAAGCUGAAGCAGACGCCGACCAUCGGCGAGGACUUAUUGCACGCUGAGAGCAGCUCAGACGUCUCGGAGAACAAUGUCGACGAAAAUGUU